rnacentral:sRNA from 1 species
GCCAGGUGUGGUGGUGCACACCUAUAAUUCCCACUACCUAGGAGGCUGAGGCAGGAGAAUCCCAAAUUCAAAGCCAGCCUGGGUAAUUUAGGUAAAUCUGUCUCAA